UCGCUACCCGCAUCUGAUAGCUUCGGGUCCUGCGGCGCUUGGAAGUGACUUUCCCAAUUCCGCUCCCCUGGGUGGCUGCGGCUUCCCUGACUUAGGGAAGGGGGCUACCGGGCCCCGGCAGACAAGUCCGGUCCGCUGCGUCUACCAGGUCCGGCGAAGGAGACUGAUAUUGCAUGGCGUGUUGCUCUGACUACAACGCGGCUUAGUGGUAGAAAAAUCUGGCCACGCAACAGAGGGACAGAAAGAAAAUACAAACCACUCGGGCAGACGGGCACCGUAACCCUCCCAUUUUACCUAGCAAGAAACAAGCCCGGGAGAUUAAGCCUGGUCCUGUGUUUGCGCCAGUGGGCUGCUUGGGUCCCAGAGCAAUCUAAUUCUUCCUUUGAGACAGGUGUGGUUCUGAGCCGGUUCUGAGUUCUGCGCACACAGCCGUAGCUGGAAGAUGAGUGGCUGGGCCUAUUGGGGCACCUACGAACCUGGAUUCAGACCUUGUCACCGUGAUUAACUUUCAGCGUUACCACGAGCACGUCGUCCUGAACUUUACAAAUCUCACCGCUGGAAAUUUAAGUGAAAUAAAUGUAACCUGGUUUUCGAGGUCCCGCUACCAGAUGAUAAAAAGGGAAGGGAUCUAACAUUGUUAGACACGCUGAACCACUUCCCUGCCAGGCAGUUUGCAAUACAAAAUACCUCAUUUAAGCUUCGUUACACCCUACAACUGAUGUUACGAUUCUCUUUUUACCGCGGGGGACGUCGAGUCUAUUAAUUUGCUAAUCCGUGCCGAGAUUAGGUCCUCUGCUCUCUGGCCUAUUUUAGAAAAGAGUUUAUGGGAGGGCAAACCUAGGGGCUGCUUGGAUUCGCCUUACACCGGAGCCCGAGGAGCCUGCGACUUAACAAGGGACAGUCUUAAGGACACCAGGGCUGUUACAAAUAUUGCCUCAGAAGUUUGGGCUCCUUGAAAACCGGUGAAAGGAGCCACAAGGCCAGAAGGCAAGCAAAGGGAGGGGGAAGACUGAUGUAGCAAUUCAAUGGGCAGAGUGAGGGGGGAAAAGGAAGGUCCGGAAAUGAUUAACUGGGCCGGGUAGUGGUUAGAGUGGGGGCACCUCCCCGAAGUGCAAUCUUGGAGCAGCCCAAGGUCACUCCCUUGGUUACUUCUCACUACUCCCUCAACCCCAGCAGUCCUCUGCUAAUGGUGUCCACCUACCUGCAGCAUCUUUGAGACCUUUCCCCCGCACUUUGUUUCUUCAAAGUUCCUUUGCCCUUUUCCAAAUUAUAUUAUUGAAGUUAUUGCAGUGAGGAGUUGUGGAAAGUGCAUAGGAAGCCAGAUCAGAAGACAGUAAGGAAGAGAAAAAGGUAUCAAGGAAUGCUGGUAAAAAUAAAACGUUAUGUAAAUUGCAGGAGAAACUCUACAUGUCAACUGGACCUAAUAAAGAGAGAGACAACCAGAUGAAGAGAAAAGCUCCAGCAGAAUUGAAGAAUGUUUACAUUCUUGCAACCACAAAUGUGAAGUGAGCUCAAAACCCAGUGGGAGUUUAACAAAAUACUUAAGUUCAAAGUGAGGCCGCUCUGUGCAUAUUCCCCUCCUGGUUGCCCUGGCAAUGAAACAUCUGCCUUAUAGUAAUGAAAUAUUACUGAGAAAAACCCACAAGCAAAAGAGAGUUUCUGGACAUAUAAGCUUGUUAUUCCUCCGAUUGACAUUGGUCUUAUGAGUGUAGGAAUCAAAUAAAGUAGCUGCCUCUGCCUGU